GACAGAGGGGGCAAGCGUUGCUCGGAAUUACUGGGCGGAAAGGGCGCGUAGGCGGGAUGGCAAGUCGGUCGUGAAAUCCCUCGGCUCAACUGAGGAUCGUCGAUCGAUACUGCCGUUCUUGAGGAUUGCAGAGGAGACUGGAAUUCCCGGUGUAGCGGUGAAAUGUGUAGAGAUCGGGAGGAACACCGGUGGCGAAGGCGGGUCUCUGGGCAAUUCCUGACGCUGAGGCGCGAAAGCCAGGGGAGCAAACGGG
rnacentral:rRNA from 1 species